AGGGUUCGAUUAUGGCUCAGAACGUACGCUGGCGGCACGCCUAACACAUGCAAGUCGAGCGAAGUAGCAAUACUUAGUGGCAGACGGGUGAGUAACAUGUAGGUAUCUACCCUUUGGCCUGGAAUAACACGAGGAAACUUGUGCUAAUACCGGAUAAGUCUUUACGGAGAAAGCUUUAUGCACCAUUGGAUGAGCCUGCACUUAAUUAGUUUGUUGGUGGGGUAAUGGCCUACCAAGACUGUGAUCAAUAGCUGAUUUGAGAGGAUGAUCAGCCACAUUGGGACUGAGACACGGCCCAAACUCCUACGGGAGGCAGCAGUGGGGAAUCUUGCACAAUGGAGGAAACUCUGAUGCAGCGAUGCCGCGUGAGUGAAGAAGGCCUUUGGGUUGUAAAGCUCUUUCGUCGGGGAAGAAAAUGACUGUACCCGAAUAAGAAGGUCCAGCUAACUUCGUGCCAGCAGCCGCGGUAAUACGAAGGGACCUAGCGUAGUUCGGAAUUACUGGGCUUAAAGAGUUCGUAGGUGGUUGAAAAAGUUAGUGGUGAAAUCCCAGAGCUUAACUCUGGAACUGCCAUUAAAACUUUUCAGCUAGAGUAUGAUAGAGGAAAGCAGAUUUCUAGCGUAGAGGUGAAAUUCGUAGAUAUUAGAAAGAAUACCAAUUGCGAAGGCAGCUUUCUGGAUCAUUACUGACACUGAGGAACGAAAGCAUGGGUAGCGAAGAGGAUUAGAUACCCUCGUAGUCCAUGCCGUAAACGAUGUGUGUUAGACGUUGGAAAUUUAUUUUCAGUGUCGCAGCGAAAGCGAUAAACACACCGCCUGGGGAGUACGACCGCAAGGUUAAAACUCAAAUGAAUUGACGGGGACCCGCACAAGUAGUGGAGCAUGUGGUUUAAUUCGAAGAUACGCGCAGAACCUUACCAACACUUGACAUGUUCGUCGCGACUCUAAGAGAUUAGAGUUUUCGGUUCGGCCGGACGAAACACAGGUGCUGCAUGGCUGUCGUCAGCUCGUGUCGUGAGAUGUUGGGUUAAGUCCCGCAACGAGCGCAACCCUCACUUUUAGUUGCCAUCAUUUAGUUGGGCACUCUGAAAGAACUGCCAGUGAUAGGCUGGAGGAAGGUGGGGAUGACGUCAAGUCCUCAUGGCCCUUACGUGUUGGGCUACACACGUGCUACAAUGGUAUCUACAACAGGAAGCAAGACUGCGAGGUCAAGCAAAUCCUUAAAAGAUACCUCAGUUCGGAUUGCACUCUGCAACUCGAGUGCAUGAAGCUGGAAUUACUAGUAAUCGUGGAUCAGCGUGCCACGGUGAAUGCGUUCCCGGGUCUUGUACACACCGCCCGUCACACCAUGGGAGUUGGUUCUACCUUAAGGCAAGGUUUAAAACCCUUGACCACGGUAUAGUCAGCGACUGGGGUGAAGUCGUAACAAGGUAGCCAAGGG
rnacentral:rRNA from 1 species